AGCGAACGCUGGCGGCAGGCCCAACACAUGCAAGUCGAACGAACUCUUCGGAGUUAGUGGCGGACGGGUGAGUAACACGUGGGAACGUGCCUUUUGGUUCGGAAUAACUCAGGGAAACUUGUGCUAAUACCGGAUGUGCCCUUCGGGGGAAAGAUUUAUCGCCAUUAGAGCGGCCCGCGUCUGAUUAGCUAGUUGGUGAGGUAACGGCUCACCAAGGCGACGAUCAGUAGCUGGUCUGAGAGGAUGACCAGCCACACUGGGACUGAGACACGGCCCAGACUCCUACGGGAGGCAGCAGUGGGGAAUCUUGCGCAAUGGGCGAAAGCCUGACGCAGCCAUGCCGCGUGAAUGAUGAAGGUCUUAGGAUUGUAAAAUUCUUUCACCGGGGACGAUAAUGACGGUACCCGGAGAAGAAGCCCCGGCUAACUUCGUG
rnacentral:rRNA from 1 species